rnacentral:rRNA from 1 species
UUUUACAAUGGAGAGUUUGAUCCUGGCUCAGGAUGAACGCUAGCUACAGGCUUAACACAUGCAAGUCGAGGGGAAACGACAUCGAAAGCUUGCUUUUGAUGGGCG